rnacentral:tmRNA from 1 species
GGGGGCGAAUCAGGUUCGACGGGGGUCGUUGGUUCCCAGGGAAGCGAGCCGAGGUGCCGUUGCCUCGUUAAACUGCGGCAAAGGCUUAACAGCCAACAACGAUUUCGCUCUGGCUGCUUAACUAAGUUAGCCACGCUCAGCCGCUCCUCGCCCGCGGGCGCGGACAUGGGCGUCAUGCAGCGGGAUACCCCGAAGGCUUCCGCCUGGAGCCGGUAGGGGGAAAUCAAUCAGGCUGGUCCAGGCCGGACCCCGCCUUCAGGGGCCGGCAGGGGCGAGAUCAAACUGGAGGCUACGCUCGUAGAUGCCCUGAGAGUCAGUCUCUCGGACGCGGGGGGCAGAACCCGCCGCCUCCACCA